rnacentral:rRNA from 1 species
CAUGCAAGUCGAACGGUAACAGGAAGAAGCUUGCUUCUUUGCUGACGAGUGGCGGACGGGUGAGUAAUGUCUGGGAAACUGCCUGAUGGAGGGGGAUAACUACUGGAAACGGUAGCUAAUACCGCAUAACGUCGCAAGACCAAAGAGGGGGACCUUCGGGCCUCUUGCCAUCGGAUGUGCCCAGAUGGGAUUAGCUUGUUGGUGGGGUAACGGCUCACCAAGGCGACGAUCCCUAGCUGGUCUGAGAGGAUGACCAGCCACACUGGAACUGAGACACGGUCCAGACUCCUACGGGAGGCAGCAGUGGGGAAUAUUGCACAAUGGGCGCAAGCCUGAUGCAGCCAUGCCGCGUGUAUGAAGAAGGCCUUCGGGUUGUAAAGUACUUUCAGCGGGGAGGAAGGGAGUAAAGUUAAUACCUUUGCUCAUUGACGUUACCCGCAGAAGAAGCACCGGCUAACUCCGUGCCAGCAGCCGCGGUAAUACGGAGGGUGCAAGCGUUAAUCGGAAUUACUGGGCGUAAAGCGCACGCAGGCGGUUUGUUAAGUCAGAUGUGAAAUCCCCGGGCUCAACCUGGGAACUGCAUCUGAUACUGGCAAGCUUGAGUCUCGUAGAGGGGGGUAGAAUUCCAGGUGUAGCG